rnacentral:rRNA from 1 species
AAACCAUGUCUACUUGAAGAUGUAAGUAGUCAGGCCUGCUCACUGACUGAACCUGUUUAAGAGCCGCGGUAUUCUGACCGUGCAAAGGUAGCAUAAUCAUUAGUUUUUUAAUUGAAAACUGGUAUGAAAGGUUAGACAAGAAAAAAGCUGUUUCAAUUAUAAUUUUUGAAUUUAACUUUUAAGUGAGAAGGCUUAAAUUGCUUAGAGGGACGAUAAGACCCUAUAAAGCUUUAUAUAAAUAUUAAAGUUGAUUGAAGUUGUAUUAAGAGUUAAUAAUAAGUAAUAUAUUUUGUUGGGGCGACAUAAGUAUAAUUUUUAUAACUGCUUAUAUUUAUAAUCAUUUAUUAAUGGAUAAAUUUUAGAUGACCCUAUAUUAUAGAUUUAAAGAUUAAGUUACUUUAGGGAUAACAGCGUUAUUUUACUUGAGAGUUCCUAUCGAAAGUGAAGUUUGCGACCUCGAUGUUGAAUUAAAGUUUCUGUAUAAUGCAGCCGUUAUAUAAGAAGGUCUGUUCGACCUUUAAAUUUUUACGUGA